GAUGAAGAACGUAGCGAAAUGCGAUAAGUAGUGUGAAUUGCAGAAUUCAGUGAAUCAUCGAAUCUUUGAACGCACAUUGCGCCCCUUGGUAUUCCAUGGGGCAUGCCUGUUCGAGCGUCAUUUGUACCUUCAAGCUCUGCUUGGUGUUGGGUGUUUGUCUCGCCUCUGCGUGUAGACUCGCCUCAAAAUAAUUGGCAGCCGGCGUAUUGAUUUCGGAGCGCAGUACAUCUCGCGCUUUGCACUCAUAACGACAGCGUCCAAAAGUACAUUUUACACUCUUGACCUCGGAUCAGGUAGGGAUACCCGCUGAACUUAAGCAUAUCAAUAAGCGGAGGA
rnacentral:misc_RNA from 1 species